rnacentral:rRNA from 1 species
UAGGUAGGUGGUCUCAUUUGUCCGGGGUGAAAGCCUUGAGCUUAACUCAAGAAGUGCCCCGGAAACGGUGAGACUGGAGUCUUGGAGAGGGUCGUGGAAUUCCCGGUGUAGCGGUGAAAUGCGUAGAGAUCGGGAGGAACACCAGAGGCGAAGGCGGCGACCUGGACAAGUACUGACACUCAACUACGAAAGCGUGGGGAGCAAACAGGAUUAGAUACCCUGGUAGUCCACGCUGUAAACGAUGGGUACUAGGUUUGGUGGGUCUUGACCCCCGCCGAACCGGAGCUAACGCACUAAGUACCCCGCCUGGGAAGUACGGUCGCAAGACUAAA